rnacentral:rRNA from 1 species
UACGUAGGGUGCGAGCGUUGUCCGGAAUUAUUGGGCGUAAAGAGCUUGUAGGCGGUUUGUCGCGUCUGCUGUGAAAAUCCGGGGCUCAACCCCGGACUUGCAGUGGGUACGGGCAGACUGGAGUGUGGUAGGGGAGACUGGAAUUCCUGGUGUAGCGGUGGAAUGCGCAGAUAUCAGGAGGAACACCGAUGGCGAAGGCAGGUCUCUGGGCCACUACUGACGCUGAGGAGCGAAAGCGUGGGGAGCAAACAGG